rnacentral:rRNA from 1 species
UACGGAGGGUGCGAGCGUUGUUCGGAAUUAUUGGGCGUAAAGCGCACGUAGGCGGCCGGGUAAGUCUCACUGUGAAAGCCCGGGGCUCAACCCCGGGAGGCCAGGGGAUACUGCUCGGCUGGAGACAGGCAGAGGCUGGUAGAAUUCCGGGUGUAGCGGUGGAAUGCGUAGAGAUCCGGAGGAAUACCUGAGGCGAAGGCGGCCAGCUGGGCCUGAUCUGACGCUGAGGUGCGAAAGCGUGGGGAGCGAACAGG